rnacentral:rRNA from 1 species
AACAGGGAUUGCCUCAGUAGCGGCGAGUGAAGCGGCAAAAGCUCAAAUUUGAAAUCUGGCGUCUUUGGCGUCCGAGUUGUAAUUUGAAGAAGGUAUCUUUGGGCCCGGCUCUUGUCUAUGGUUCCUUGGAACAGGACGUCACAGAGGGUGAGAAUCCCGUGCGAUGAGAUGACCCGGGUCUGUGUAAAGUUCCUUCGACGAGUCGAGUUGUUUGGGAAUGCAGCUCUAAGUGGGUGGUAAAUUCCAUCUAAAGCUAAAUAUUGGCGAGAGACCGAUAGCGAACAAGUACAGUGAUGGAAAGAUGAAAAGAACUUUGAAAAGAGAGUGAAAAAGUACGUGAAAUUGUUGAAAGGGAAGGGCUUGAGAUCAGACUUGGUAUUUUGCAUGCUGCUCUCUCGGGGGCGGCCGCUGCGGUUUACCGGGCCAGCAUCGGUUUGGAGCGGCAGGAUAAUGGCGGAGGAAUGUGGCACGGCUUCUGCUGUGUGUUAUAGCCUCUGACGAUACUGCCAGCCUAGACCGAGGACUGCGGUUUUUACCUAGGAUGUUGGCAUAAUGAUCUUAAGUCGC